CCUACGGGUGGCUGCAGUGAGGAAUAUUGCACAAUGGGCGCAAGCCUGAUGCAGCGACGCCGCGUGGGCGAAGAAGGUUUUCGGAUCGUAAAGCCCUUUUCUCAGGGACGAGGAAGGACGGUACCUGAGGAAUAAGUGUCGGCUAACUACGUGCCAGCAGCCGCGGUAAAACGUAGGACGCAAGCGUUAUCCGGAAUUACUGGGCGUAAAGCGCGUGUAGGUGGGUGUCUAAGUCACUUGUGAAAGCUCCUGGCUAAACUGGGAGAGGUCAGGUG
rnacentral:rRNA from 1 species